rnacentral:rRNA from 1 species
UACGUAGGGUGCAAGCGUUGUCCGGAAUUAUUGGGCGUAAAGAGCUCGUAGGCGGUCUGUCGCGUCGGCUGUGAAAACUCGGGGCUCAACUCCGAGCUUGCAGUCGAUACGGGCAGGCUAGAGUUCGGCAGGGGAGACUGGAAUUCCUGGUGUAGCGGUGAAAUGCGCAGAUAUCAGGAGGAACACCGGUGGCGAAGGCGGGUCUCUGGGCCACUACUGACGCUGAGAAGCGAAAGCAUGGGGAGCAAACAGG